UCAGCAUAGAAUGGAUUCUUAUUGGAACUAUCCAUGAAGCGUUUAUAAAGAUGCACAAAUGCUAGGACAUUCAGCAAAUCUCCUAAUUGGUGUAUUGCUUAUACCAGGCAAUUAAAAUAUUAUUUCAUAUUGCAUGUUUAAAGAAGCUAAUACUGGUUAAAUUCUUAGUAAUCAAAUUGGACAAAUUAAUAAAGUGGGUCUCUUGCUAUGAUUUGAUUUUGGUUGUACAAUGUCUUCAAAGAUGAGCCCAUUUCCCUACAAAAGAUAGUUCCCCACAAAAGAAGUCGAAUUCUGUCCAGCAGACAUUCACAUAUCCUAAGUGAUUUGUGUGGAACAUUGACAAUAGUAACAAUUUAUACCUCUGGCCUCCUAAGUAGCACCAAUAAUUUUAGGGAGUUGAUCUUAACUAUUUCAGAGCUCAAAUAUGCUUGUUCAAUAAAUUAAAAACUACAUUUGGUGGACCUCAAAGCACUAAAUUAUAAAACUGAUACAAUAUUUUGCCAACACAACAUUAUGCUUGUUAUAAUGCCAUGUCACAAUCCAUGUGAUAUUUUGUGGACAGACACCGUAGUUCUUUAUGUAUAUUAAUACUCACUGCAAUCUUUGCAAUGGGUAUUAUUAUCUGCAUUGAAAGAUGAGGAAACUAAGGCACAGAAAAAUCAAAUGAUUUUUCUCAUGUCAGAUGGCUGGUAAAUUUAGCAGUUUGGCUCCAGCAAGCACAUAUUUCAAAACAACCCUGUCACAACUCUUUCUAUGCUCUACACAAGAUUUCUAUGAAAUAAUGUGAAGAAGUUCCUAGCAGCGAGACCAUAACAGAGGAUCUACCCUAAAAUAAAAAAAAGGGGAAAGAAGGUUGUCCUAGAUAUUCUCAAUGAUUGUUGCAUUUUUAGAGUACAACUUGUAUCAGUUUAGCAACAUUGAACCUAUUUUAGCUUCCUUGCAAGCUACUGAUUUUUUUCCUCAUUAUAAAACCUUCAACUAUGUAAAGAUUUUUCUCAAUUCUUGCAGAAAACUAGGAUGAAUAAAGCAAUGAAUAUGGUACCCUUUUAAAUAACACACCACGUUAGGUAGGAAUUUUAACUUUUUUCUCGCUGUUGUUGUUUUUGGAAGAUUUAUAGCAAUUAAAUAACAUGGUCUCCGGUAGUUCUGGGACUGUAUUAACCAUGGAAUCAUUUUAUUUGUACAUUAAUGAAAUUUAGGACUAUCAUGAAAUUUAUAAAAAAUGACAUCUAACAUAUUCUUAGUUGUAAAACCUACAUUCACAAGAAUCCAAAGUCCUUGUAAAAAAUAACCAUCUUCCACUAAACAUAUAAAUCACCCCUUCAAAGAGUAUCUGUAUCCUUGAUCUUUCAUGAAAUUGUGAGUUUCACAACUUUGGGGAAGAAUGAAGUAGUCUGUAUAGCAUUAGUAUGCUAGGUCAUCAAAGGAAAAAUGGAUAAAUAUCAGAAUUUAUUUCCAACAAGAAAACUGUUGUGCACAACUAUUCAUAGUUCAGUUUUGAAAAUAAUAUUUAAUAUGCUUUUAAAAUGCUAGUCAAGAUAUUCCAAGUUUUCUCAUGCAUCAUUUGCCUUCAGGAAACAUGAAGAACUCAAAUGUAAAAAAAUAUUAAAAGAGAAAAAGCCACCCUACCUCAAAAAAGAAUGGAAUUUUGGGGGGUUUUGUUCUUAUAGUGUCUUAGUAGAUAAUAUGCUGAAAUACAUAGAAUGAUAUGUCAACAUAAGUCUUCAUUAGAUUCUAAACUAAUGGAGUUUCAUGUAUGCCUAUGACUCUGCAUAGUUAAAAUAUCAUCCUGGCAUUUAAACUCAUCAUUGAGAUCAGAGCUAACUUGGGAAAUCCAGGCUUGCAUUGUGAAGUUGCAAAUUAUGGCAAUUUCUCAGGUAAUUUGAAGCAAUUUCAAUGACUUUCUCCUGUCUGCUUCAGGAAAGUACUAAACAAAAAGUAAAUGUUAUGUUUCAUGUUGGGUCACUGAUAAAAUGUAAAUGAACGCAGGACUCACAAUAAAUUCCAGAGAGAACAGUAUUUCUGUAUUCAACAUGAUGGUAAAGGCCAAUGUAUGAGGUUGAAACAUCUUUAUAAUGUAGGUUUGCAAAACUAUGUUUACUAAACCCUAUUAGCAAUAUAGUCUUAGAAUGGAGUCAAAAGCUACAAAAAUAAUUGCAUAAAUAGGUAAUGUAUGUUAAUAAACAUCUUAUUUAUAUAACUUAUCGGUGAUACUCCAGACCUACCACCUCUUUUGUUUUGCUUGAGAUUCUGACCUUUUAAACUAAUCAUUUUUGCUUCCUACAUCUUCAUCAACACAUCAUUAACUCUGGAAUUUAACCUGAGAUCCAUUCUUAAUUCUUCUCUCUCAAACUCAUAAGGGCUUUAUGAUAGCUAUGUAGUAAAAAUGAAGUCUCCCUCUCUCUCUCUCUCUCUCUCUAAGGAAACACUCAAAACCCUCUACAUAGCUUACUGUUGCUUGAAUCACCACCAAACACUUUCUCUCCCCUCUCCUGGUGGAACAUGCUAGGACAUCCUAUGAAUAUGUGCUGGGAGUGUUUUAUGAGUGUGAUUUUACCUAACCAGGAAGUCAGGAAGGAGGAGAAUGACCUAAUCUGCCAUGUUUUCUUUAUGAGAACAUCUUCUUAGCAAUGUAUGGUUUCAUGAAGUAGCUAUAGAGUUUUAAAGUUGCCCUUACAUCCUGAGUCAAGAAAUGCUACCUUUCCUGCCAUUCAUUUCAAUGAACCUGUAGUUUAUUAAGCCAGUAUCAUUACUUUGAAUUUGAUUUGUGAGCAUUACACAAAAAGCUGUAUAUGCCUGUAUUUGAUAAACAGAAGCAUCUGACUUUGAUUUGCAUUAUUAUAUUUGGAUUCUUCAGUGAUUGCUUGAAAUGACUCAUGUUGAUCCUUAUAUAUCUUUCUUUUCUUCCUUCCUUCCUUCAUUCCCUUCCUCCUUCCUUCCUUCUUUCUUUUUUUUCUUUCCUAUUUUUAAAAAUUAUUACUUUCAGAUGAUGAAAAGAAGAAAAACAAUGAGAGUGACUAGUUAGGAAUCAUCUAGAAGCUUUAAUAUAGAAACAAAAACAAAAAUAAAUACUCCCAUCCAUACACCCAUUUUUUGCUUGAGAAUGUCAGGGGAACUAGUUAAAACAGUUGCUAGGCAGCCUAUUCCUCAUCUCACAAUGGGUUAGAACUUUAAUCAUGUUUACAGAGAUACCAUGUAAAACUCUAAAUGAACAGUCUUAUUUUAUAGCUCCAAUUUAAUUAAUAGCUAAUAUUUUUGGCAUGUUUAUACUAAUUGAUUACAUAGAAAUAUACUCUAUGAUAUAUACAUAUUUCAGAAAUUCUAUGAUAUUUUUGGAAACUUGGUUUUUUUAAACUUUCGUAUUUUACUGCCUUGGAGUUUACUUGGAAAUUGCAUACACCAAUCUGCUCACACAUAUCUAGUCUAUUUUUUUCAUUCUACAGAGAAAGCUAUAUUUUAUACUACAUCCCUUGAGAGAUAGUACCUGAAUCUACUAGUAAUGAUAUUGUCAAAAGAAUUAUAUAGAGAGCUAGGAAGAUAGAUAAAUGGUAUAUCUCUUACAUACACACAUAUGCACACACACGUGUUUGUGUGUGAGAGAGAGUACAUAUAUUCAUUCCUAUAAAAAUAAAUACACAUACAUAGCUUUCUCUGUUUCUAGUUAUAACUCCAUUAACCAUGAUAAAAAAAUAUGUCUUUCUUCUCUGUAUAAUUUAGAUAUCUCUACAGACAGUUUUCUUUAUUCAUGUUGGGAAAAUCUAAAGUACUUUUAAUUUUUCUUCAUUUAUUUCUCUAUUGUGUUAUGUACUUUUACUGCUUUUCCCUUGAAUUUUUAUUUAAGAUGUUCAGGCAAAUAAAAUAGUCCAGGUAUAGUCUCCCCAAAAAUUGGGGAGUCCAGGGAUACAGAUCCUUAUCUAAGUCAUGCUACUGAAGGACUAGCAUAUUUCAGGCCCAGGUUCUUCUAUAUCCUUGCCAUUGGUCUCCUAUUCCUUCAUGGCUCAUUGUGAAUUCGUCUGUAACAUUCUGUCAUCUAUUAGUCUUUCAGUUCUUACUAUGUUCCAAAGCUGGUACACUGAUUCAAUCUCACAUUCCCAGACCAGGGUUUCUUAACCUACAGGUAAUGAACAAUCCCAUGUGUAUCUGUUUUACCUUUUUGUUUCUUGGUCUUUUCAGUUUUGCUUUGUUUUUGUUUUAUUUUAUGAGAACGAGGACCAUAUAUUUCAUUUGAUUUUUAAAGAGACCCCUCAAAUGCUAAAAAGGGUCAUCCUAGAUAACAGUCAAGAUCUUUGUGACAACCCAGAGUAAUUGUGGACACACUUCCAUGCUGUCCUGAUGUCUUCUUCACCUAUUAGGAUUGAAGAGGAGUCAUGGUCUGCCUAAUGUUAUAAGGGGCAAGUCUGACAAGGAUAAACUCAGAUGAAGGUGCUCUUAUUUAGAAAAGGUUAAUAUGAUCUAUAACAUUAAAAUUUCAAUUAGCCCUCUAAUGACAAUACAGCUGAUUUUUUUGUAAUUUUUAAUUGAGCUUAAUCUCUCCUUUAAUAAUAGCAAAGAAGAUCUUGAACAUUCAGAAUCCCUAGACAGUAAAAUCCUUAACACAGAGAGUGUGCAGGGGACAUAGCUACCUAUAAUUCAGCAGUGCUGACAAACUGAAUGACACUGGAUAAAUCAUUUAAUUUUGAUGUCCCUUAGUUACCUUGCCUUGAAAUGGGAAUGCUAAAAGUUUCACUACUUCCUUUGCAAGGUUACUGUGAAUGUAAAAUAGAAUAACUAGAAAGCUAAAAUAUAUAUGUAAUUUAUGUAUCUGUAAGUAAUGUGUGGAACUUUUAAGCCUUGUAUGGGAAUAAAACAAAUAUACACUGUACUAUUCUAUGAACAAAUCUGUUGGCCAACAUUCUGAUAUUGAAUAUUUAUACACGAUAUAAUGUCUCCAUUUAUUUUCUGGACAGAAUAUAUGAGAUUUCUCAACAGAGGAUUUCCCGUUCUCUUAUUUAAGUAUUCUCCUCAGUGUUUGGGAGGCUGUAUAUUAAACUAGAGAAAAGGUAUUUGUUUGUAGUCAAACAUAAGCUUUUAUAACUACUCUGCCCUUUUACUAGAUCUGGGUCUCUGGGAAGUUAGUAGGUCCUUUAUGAAUGACAGUGUUCUUGUGUUUUGGCAAUACCAACUAUAGGUUUUCCUAACAUCAGUUUUGUGCUUUGUCAAGUCUCUUGUUUGCUUGGUUUAAAUCCCACUUCCAACUUCUUAAAGUCUAAUUAUAGAAUUGUCUUGAGUUUAUUGAUGUUUAACUUCUAGGGCGGUCUGUGAAUGUCAUCGAAAUGUCGAUAACUUAUUCUUCUAGCAGAAAGAAAUCCUCUAGGAUAUGCUGAACCUUCUGAAAAUGAUUUUCUUACCUCUAUUUACAAGUAUCUCAAUUUUAAAAUCACACUUCUCAAAGUAAAGCAAAAAUAGCCAAUGAAGAAUAUUUCUAAAACUCAAGAUUCAUGUGGACUCCUGCUUCUGCUGGUACAGUCCAGCACUGGCAAAUCUGUGGCAAGACGUUCAGUUCCAGAGCCUCCAUGUCAAGGCCAGUCUACUGGCUUCAAGCCAAGAUGGAGAAAUGGAAACUCCAAAAGAUUAAGCAAGAAGCCCAUAGGAACACAAUUAGUAGAGGUAGGAUUUGAAUUUAUAUCUGUCUAGUUCCAAAUCUUAUACUAUUUACUAUGAUUUCACAUUGUUUUUGCUUCAAAAAUUAUAAAUGAUUCAUAAUAAAGUAUACUACCAUAAAAAUUGUUUCAUGCAUUUCAAGUUUGAAUAGCAUAUAAAUUUACAUUAUCAAGAUAAUUUUUUUACUUUGGAAAACUUUUUGUUCAUUUAGGUGAAUAAUUUUCUAACAUUAAUGUCAUAUCGAAUUACGGCCAAAAAAUCCCCUUUAAGUUCUUAUAUUAGCACUGAGAGUGGAUGAAGAGAAAAUCUACCGAUUCCUUACUUAGUUUUAUAUCUCCUCUUGACAAAUGGAAACCUCAUCUGUAGACAGGCAAUAUUUAGCUACUUUAUCUUGAUUAAUCCGUGGGAUAGAGUGAGGUUUAAGUAAGCAAUAACACAUGACAUGAUGCAUGUUACACUGUAAUGAAGCCAUGCUUGAGCUGUUUGGUGAUACAUGAACAUCCUCCUCCAUCGGAUGCUGUCAUUCUGUAAUAGCAGGAGCUUUGGAAUUAGCCACUGAUAUUUUAAUGCCCUCCAUUACUGAGAAUGUUCAUAUAAAAAUCAAAAUAAUAUGAGACCAUAUACUAUGAAAAGUUUUGCUCUCACUCUCUCAUCUUUCCCAUCCAAGAGGCCCAUCACCAUCACUACUCACUUUUAAGCUUAUCCUCUGGAGAUUUUCUAUCCAAAUGCAAACAAAUACAAACAUAAAUUCUCAUUUUCCUUCUUUCUUACAUGAGUGGCAGCAGACUAUCCACACUACUUUGUACUUUUUUUAAAUAGACUUUUAUGCCUUAGCAAUCUUUACAAACCUAUGACAGCUUCAUAGUAUUCCAUUAUUUAGACAAGUCUAUGCUUAUUUAACCAAAAGUUUCUGGUUGAGCUAUGAAAAUAUCUGUGUAAGGAGAAAGCUUAUGUGAAAGAGAAUAUAUAAUGUCUACCAAAUACACUCUUUUCUAUUUUGUAUCCCAUUUGCAGUUAGGGGCCAAGUGCCAGGUGAUAAGAUCUGGCCAAUAAUAUAAAAUUCAAAGGAAUGCAUGCCACUUCCAGUCAGAGGCAGUGAAGACUCCCUAUGUGGUUUUUGGUUCUCUCUCUCACUAUGCAAUGAAGAAAGAGGCUGAAUAUUCCUGAUGUUGCAGCUACGAGAUGAGGGUCUUCAUCAGUUCACAUACGUGGGCAAACUUGCAGCAAAACUCUGCCACACUGCAAUGGUCACAUAUGGUCUUGUUAGAUCACUAUAAUUGGGACUUAUUUUGGUAUUGUAUAGAAUCAAACACUUCGAACUGGAGUAAUCCUUGAUAAUAUUCAAGCCAAGAAGUUCUUAAGUCUCUGUGUUGCCUGGGAAUUUUAAACAUAUAUUCAAUUUCAUUUUCUGGAGAAUCGUUAGUAAUGAUUAGAUUCUUAAAAGGAGUUCAGAGCCUAAAAUUAGCUAAAUUUUAUCAACGUGACCUAACCCCUCAUUUUACAGACAAUGAAAAUGAGAUUGGGGUGUUGGUUUAGAAGGUGUGGCUGAGUUGCAGAUCCCCUUCUUCUCAGUUCUAUACCGUGCCUCAUCACGGCCCAGUCUGAGGAGUCCAACUGCAUUAAACUCACAGCCCUGAUGGAGCCAGCUAUUGUUUUCUACUUCAUAAACAUACACACCCUUUUAGUAACUAGGGCCAGCAUCACAACCUACUUAUGUUCAUACCCUUCUUCAUCUCAUCUGUUCAAGUACUCAAGCCAAAAAUUUAGGAUUUUGCUUUGAUCUCUCACUUCACCCUUUCUCCCUCUGAGUAAACCUCUCCUACAUAUCAUGAACUACCAAAAAAUCCUGCUCUUCCUGUUUCCAUUCAUGACCUCUUUUGGACUUGUGUAAAAUAAUUUUUAAAUUUUGUUAUUCAUUUCUAAGGGUCCAUAUUCCACUUAUAGCAUAGAUUCUGUAAGACUAAGAUGGUGUCUCUUGCUCAAUGCCAAAUCGCAGUACCUAGAACACUAGCUGGUGCUUAUGAGUGCUUAAUACUUAUUAAAUCAGUCAACAAAUGUUAAUUUUCUAAUCGUUAUCCAAGGUGUUGCCUUGCUCAGAAUUUCUUUCACUUUUUUCUUGUAUUAGUUAAGCAUUACCCAUCUUUCAAGGUUUAGGACCAUGAUGAUGGAGCUCCUCCGCCUGCCCUCCUGAUAUAGUCCCUCUUCUGAUACCUACGAUAGUUUCAGUUAUAAGGUAGACCUGUACUCUUGACAGUUGAGACAGUAUUACUUGUGAGAAAACACUUUGCCCUAGAAUUCAGAAGACUCAGCCACAUCUACUUUUGAUUCUAAUAGUAUUGAGAUAUAGCCUUGGAUAAGUCAUAUAACUUCACUAAAUCUCAGUUUUCUGACCUUGGAAAUGAGAAAGACAAAAAUGAUAAAUAAUGAUGAUACUUCCUUUGAAGCUGCCCACUCCAUCUGUGUUUUAUGUAAUAUACUCAAGUUCAAGGGCAUACUUCAUGUUUAUGUACACUGUAAAACAUAAUGCCAAUGCAAAGUACUAUGAUUAUUACUGUUGUUAUGUAUUGUGUGAAGGUAUAGUUUAUCUCCCUGAUUCAGUUUUCUGGGUGCUUUCUAUUAGCACUAGUAAUAGUGCCAAUAGGAACACCCAGGAAUGAACCCUUUCAGCUUUUACAGCAUUUGUUCCAAGAACAUUAUAAGGGUGUUUUGAGGGCUGUUGUUAAGUUAAAAUACCAUUGCUUUUGCUAUACCCGCAUUUUAUGUAAAUCAGAGAACUUUUUUCCUACCAUGAGAAUAUUAUAUCAUUUAGUAAAAAUGGAAUCCCAUAGAGCCAAAAAUUUAAAACCUUUCAUCAAUUUUCUGCUAAUAUCCAUUGGUAUCAACUAAUAACUUUACUCCACUAGUUGUAGAAACUAUGCUUUUCUCCCUUUAAUUGGCCAAUGUCUACAAAGAAAUUAGCUGAUUUUAUUAUACUUUUUUUUCACUUGACGUAAUUCUGUAACAACCCUUAAUUUAAUCCUAUCUAUGUAUGCUAUAUAAGUGUGUGUAUCAUGGUUACACAACAGGCUGCAAAAGAACUGCUUCAGAAACAUAUUGAACAAACUAAGCAAUGAAAACUUGCUAAUGCACUGUGAGUCACAUACUGUGCAAGAGCAGUAAAUUGCUUCCUUGGUGGUUUUGACAACAUUGCCUCUGAACAUAAUUGAAUGUCAUUCGUUUAUAUGUUUGCAAAUAAGGUCCCAGUGACAUUACACCUGGGAGUGUGCACACUUGGUUGUCUGUUUAUGACGGAGGAGCCAGACAUAUGGCCUGUGGACUCGGUUUGGCCCAGAGCUGUUGCAAAGUCCUCCUACCAGUUUUCAGCCAGUCAGCCCCGUCACUGUGAAUCAGCUCUGUCAAAGGCAGUGCUUCCCAUCAAUUAAGGAGGGGAAAUGCAGCUUACCCAACUGCCAGUUUGCCAGGGCCUCUCAGUCCUGAGAUGGCAAAAAUACUUGAAACAUGCAAGAGAAUGUCACAUGCUAUGUAAAUAAAAGAAAGGAGAUAAGACAAGGAGAAAGAGAAAUGUUACCAUUAAACUUGCAAAAGGGAGAGUCUAGAAAAGAGAAAACCUACUGCAUGGAAGUGAUUAAGUAUGAGUUUUAAUACUUACUGUGCUCUAAAGGGUUUGUGUGAUAUUAGGCAAGUCUCUUUUACCACAUUAGCCUUAGUUUUCCUCUCUGUAAAGGAGCUGAAUACAUUUUUCAACAUUUUUUUCUCAAUCAGAAGUAUUUUCAUUUUUUCUAACUACAAAUUCAAAAAAAAUUAUUAAACAAACUAUGUCUAUUAAUUUGUUUUCCAACUACUAUAAAGACAUCUACAACUACCAAACCACAGUUACUGAUCAGCAUGAUUAUUAACAUGUUGGGUUGGUAUAAUUUCAGCAACAAAGAUGUCAUUUAACUUUCCGCAUAGCCUUGGAAUAUUUAAAAUACCUUAGAACUAUCUGUAAUGCUCCAUGGAUUUAUAAUCUUCCUGUGAAAAUGCUAUGUUUAGUUUUUCUUUCAAAAAUAGUUAAUAAAUACUGAGCUAGGCACUGGCAUUAUUAGGUACUGAGGUAACAAAAACUGUUCUUGAUGCAUUUCCAAAGUGGUAGAGAAAUUGGUAAAGAAAAAUCAAAUUCAGCAAAAAUAGGAAAUACAAUAAUAGACCUACAAAUAAAAUCUGGGAUCAUGAGAAGGCCUAUCAAUAUCCUCAUUGAAAGAAAAGAGCCACAAUAACAAAACCCUAUUUGUAGAGACUCACCUAAAAGGAGGAGCCAUCUGGCCAUACUGCUUACCAGACGUGUGCUCUAUGGAAUCAAAGCCCUGGAGACACUCAUUCAAAAUUAGGCUCCCAGACUUAAUUUUGCUUGACAAACACAAUAUUUUCUGUCUCACUCUUAAAGAUUUACAAUGCAUAUUUGCAUAUUAAAGGCUCUAAGAAGUCCCAAAGGCAAAGAAACACAUCUAACUUGGCUUGAUAUAAAUUUUCUGAAAUAUUUGACCAAAGAAUCUACUUUUGCAGAAUAAAAAAUAGUAGCUUAGUUUAGGACACUCUAAAUAUGGCUUUUGGAAUAAACAAGACCAUAGCAGAGCCAUGUUUUAUGAUCACAUUGUUUUGUGGACCAUUGCCAGUUCCUACCUAGAAAACUUCAAGACCUACAAGACAGGUAUUAUCAAGCUGCACUUUGGCAGUCUACAUGAACAUUUACAAAGAAAAACCUCAAUGAAAUGCAUUGAGUUGCUAUAAAGAUAGCAUUAAAGUUGCUGCUCAAACAUCACUCAAUAGAGACACAGAAUAGAUUUUUUUAUUUAGGUACUCAUGCCAGGAAUAAUGUGUACCUCCUGAAUAAUUUGUUUCUUUUCUAUCAUGUUAACACCAUGAUUUAACUGGUCAUUGUUGGCAGAAAAGAUCAGAGUCCAUUUUAUGACUCACAGUUAGAAAAUGUGGAGAAUUCUAUAUGCAUGUCUUGUGUAUUAAUGUUACUCUUGAUUUCAUUGUACUUUUUCUAUUUUAUUUUUCCUUUGCCCUAAUUUUCUUAUUUUUGAAAUGUAUCAACACUAUAAAUGAAUAUCAUUUUAAGAAUUCAAACAAUUUAAAAUCAAUUAAAAAUUCCACUUUUACCCUUCUCUACUUUGUCAAACCUCUCCUGCCUAACCGUAUGCACUAUUACAAAUAGUUUUGAUGUUUCUUACAGUGUCUGUUUAUAAAGAGAAAAAUAUAUUAUAUAUAUAAUUUUGAAUAGACUUUAUUUUUUAGAGAAGUUUUAGUUUUAUAGGAAAAUUGAACAGAAAAUACCAAGAGUUCCCUUGUAGCCCCUGCUGCCCGACAUGCUCAGCCUCCCCCAUUAUCAACAGUCCUCACCAGAGUGAUACUUUUGUUACAGUUGAUAAACCUAUAUUGAGACAUCAUCAUUACCCACAUUUCCUACUUUACGCUGGGGUUCACUCUCAGUGAUGUACAUUCUGUGGGUUUGGACACAUGUAUAAUGACAUGUACCACCAUUGUAAUAUCACAGAGUAGUUUCACCUCCACAAAUAUCCUUUGUGCUCUGCCUAUUGAUCCCUCUCUCCCCCUAACCCUGGCAACUACCAAUCAAUUAUUUUACUGUCUCCAUCUUUUGUCUUUUCCAGCAUGUCUAAUAGUUGUAGUCACAUAGUAUAUAUCCUUUCAGAUUGGCUUCUUUUACUUAGUAAUGUGCAUUUAAGUUUCCUCUAGAUGUUUUCAUGGCUUGAUGGCUUCUUUCUUUCUUUUUUAAGCACUGAAUAAUAUUUCACUGUCCUGAUGUACCAAGUUUAUCCAUUCACCUACUGAAGAACAUCUUGGUUGUUCUAUGUUUUGGCAAGUAUGAAUAAAGCUGCUAUAAAUGUUUAUGUGCCA